CCCUGUGGUAAGGAUAUAUAUUUCUUUACUGUUCAUAUCAUGUAUGACCAAUUUGUAAGACUACAAUAAUUUUUUAAAUAUUCCCCAAAUAUACCCACAUUGGGGUGGGGGGGCAUAUGCCUACCAUAGUCCAGUGCCUGGGGGGUUAAACAGAAAUGGAUCAUGUCUUAUGAAAGCUGUAAAAAUGGAAUCAUGUGUGAAUGUGUGUUAACCAAGGUGUAAAUGUAUACAGGUAGUAAGUGAAGAAUUGAUAUAUUGAGCAGAGAAAUAAAGGAAGUGUGAGGUAUUGUGACAUGACUUCCCCGAGUUGUAAACCUAGGUACCCAUUUACAGUUGGGUGAACUGGGAGCACCCGGGAAUCGAACCACUGACCCCGGGAACAGGAGGCGAGCGCUGUAUCUACUCAACCGCUGCACUCCUGUGGCACGUGUUGGUGCCGUUAUAAUUCUGGUUUUUCAAGAACCUAAUCCCAUGAAUAUCAACGGUCUACUGUAGUACUGUACGGCAAUUUGCUAAGACGACCUUUGUUCAUACAAUAAAAAAAUCUGGUGGUAAA